rnacentral:rRNA from 1 species
GUUAGUGGCGGACGGGUGAGUAACACGUGGGAACGUGCCUUUAGGUUCGGAAUAACUCAGGGAAACUUGUGCUAAUACCGAAUGUGCCCUUCGGGGGAAAGAUUUAUCGCCUUUAGAGCGGCCCGCGUCUGAUUAGCUAGUUGGUAGUGUAAUGGACUACCAAGGCGACGAUCAGUAGCUGGUCUGAGAGGAUGAUCAGCCACAUUGGGACUGAGACACGGCCCAAACUCCUACGGGAGGCAGCAGUGGGGAAUCUUGCGCAAUGGGCGAAAGCCUGACGCAGCCAUGCCGCGUGAAUGAUGAAGGUCUUAGGAUUGUAAAAUUCUUUCACCGGGGACGAUAAUGACGGUACCCGGAGAAGAAGCCCCGGCUAACUUCGUGCCAGCAGCCGCGGUAAUACGAAGGGGGCUAGCGUUGCUCGGAAUUACUGGGCGUAAAGGGAGCGUAGGCGGACAUUUAAGUCAGGGGUGAAAUCCCGGGGCUCAACCUCGGAAUUGCCUUUGAUACUGGGUGUCUUGAGUAUGAGAGAGGUGUGUGGAACUCCGAGUGUAGAGGUGAAAUUCGUAGAUAUUCGGAAGAACACCAGUGGCGAAGGCGACACACUGGCUCAUUACUGACGCUGAGGCUCGAAAGCGUGGGGAGCAAACAGGAUUAGAUACCCUGGUAGUCCACGCCGUAAACGAUGAUUGCUAGUUGUCGG